ACCUGGUUGAUCCUGCCAGUAGUCAUAUGCUUGUCUUAAAGAUUAAGCCAUGCAUGUCUAAGUAUAAACACUUUGUACUUGUGAAACUGCGAAUGGCUCAUUAAAUCAGUUAUAAUUUAUUUGAUGGUCUCUUUACUACUUGGAUAACCGUGGUAAAUCUAGAGCUAAUACAUGCAUAAAAUCUUGACUGGUUCUUUCGAGAGCUGGAGGGAUGUAUUUAUUAGAUUCAAAAGCCAAUGCCACUCUUUUCGGAGGGUGGAAAUUUAACAUAUGGUGAAUCAUGAUAACUUUACGAAUCGCAUGACCUUUUGUGUCGGCGAUAGUUCAUUCAAAUAUCUGCCCUAUCAACUUUCGAUGGUAGUAUAGAGGACUACCAUGGUGUUAACGGGUAACGGAGAAUCAGGGUUUGAUUCCGGAGAAGGAGCCUGAGAAACGGCUACUACUUCCAAGGAAGGCAGCAGGCGCGCAAAUUACCCAAUCCCGACACGGGGAGGUAGUGACAAAAAAUAACAAUACCGGUCUCAUUUAAGUCUGGUAAUUGGAAUGAGUACAAUCUAAAUCCUUUAACGAGUAUCAAUUGGAGGGCAAGUCUGGUGCCAGCAGCCGCGGUAAUUCCAGCUCCAAUAGCAUAUAUUAAAGUUGUUGCAGUUAAAAAGCUCGUAGUUGGAUUUUGAAGUUUACAUAUUAUGACCCACUUUGUAUUAGGUGUGUUUUGUUGUAAUAUGUACUUCUCCUUACUAGACUUUCACUAUUACACUUUAUUGAGUGAUAGUUUCAUUUUAAUUUAUUAGAAUGAGUGAUAAGCAGACCUAUUGGGUUUAAGAUUGUGGAGGUUCUUUUUCGAAAGUUCGUCCUGCUUAGAUUCAGUAACUGUUUAUUAGAAAUCUAGUUCAUUUACUUUGAGUAAAUUAGAGUGUUCAAGGCAAGCAAAAUAUUAAUUUUCUGCAAUGAAUACUAUUAGCAUGGGAUAAUGGAACAGGACAUGUAUUCUAGAAACCAACGGAAUUUCAUUGUCAGAGGUGAAAUUCUUGGAUUUAUGAAAGACGAACUUCUGCGAAAGCAUUUGCCAAAGAUGUUUUCAUUAAUCAAGAACGAAAGUUAGGGGAUCGAAGACGAUCAGAUACCGUCGUAGUCUUAACCAUAAACUAUGCCGACCGGGGAUUGGAAGAUGUCUUAUCCUGUGUAACAGCAGGAAAACUCCUUCAGUACCUUACGAGAAAUCACAAGUCUUUGGGUUCUGGGGGGAGUAUGGUCGCAAGGCUGAAACUUAAAGGAAUUGACGGAAGGGCACCACCAGGAGUGGAGCCUGCGGCUUAAUUUGACUCAACACGGGAAAACUUACCAGGUCCAGACACAGUUAGGAUUGACAGAUUGAGAGUUCUUUCUUGAUUCUGUGGGUGGUGGUGCAUGGCCGUUCUUAGUUGGUGGAGUGAUUUGUCUGGUUAAUUCCGAUAACGAACGAGACCUCAGCCUAUUAAUUAGUUAUGCAAAUGAUUACAUCCAUUUGAUUGGGAAGGGUUUCUAGUGUAAGCUUGGAGUUUGACUCUGAGAUUGAUUAGAAAAACUUGUUUUUAUUUGUUAGAAUUUGAUUUAUUAAAUUCGUUAAUAACUUCUUAGAGGGACACUUGGUGUUUAACCAAGGGAAGUCUGAGGCAAUAACAGGUCUGUGAUGCCCUUUAGAUGUUCUGGGCUGCACGCGCGCUACACUGAUACGAACAACGAGUACUGAAGCCCUCAUUCGAAAGGAUGGGGUAAACUUAUGAAAUCGUAUCGUGCUGGGGAUCGAUAAUUGCAAUUAUUUAUCGUGAACGAGGAAUUCCUAGUAAGCGCAAGUCAACAGCUUGCGCUGAUUACGUCCCUGCCCUUUGUACACACCGCCCGUCGCUCCUACCGAUGUUUGGUCCGGUGAAAUCUUAGGAUUCGUAACAUACACUUAUUAUCACUUUCGGGUGAAAAUGAGUUUGUUGUGGAGAAUUUGAGUAAACCUUGCCAAAUAGAGGAAGGAGAAGUCGUAACAAGGUAUCCGUAGGUGAACCUGCGGAAG
rnacentral:rRNA from 1 species